AUUUAUGUCAAACACCAAUGGCUGUCCUGAUCAGAAGUGAAAUGAUGUAUAAGAUAUGAAUUUGGAGAGAAUUCACUGAGCACGGUAAGGAAGAGGACCCUCCGAGUCUGCCUUCUGCCCCCAGAGAGCUUUGCUCUACACCUGCCAAGGCAAAGAUGCACAGUGUGGGUGUGAAGGCCAGAACCAAGGCUGCUUCGCUCCCUACCCUGACUGAUGCUUGAUUGUACUUAGAGUUAUUGUGAGUGAAAAGAGUUUCUAUUUCCGUAAUGAUCAUCACCAUGAG